rnacentral:sRNA from 1 species
UGCGUUUAAAAGACUGAUUUUCCUCAAUACUUACGUCGACUAACUUCACUUUUUGUCUUUAUAAGGUUCGGUACCCGGCGCCUCCACCAAAAACCGGUCGGUCACGAUGACCGGCUUUUGAUGGGGGCGAAAUAGGAUCGACAAGGGUGUAAAGAUCGAACUUUUGCUCGGCAUGAUACCGCCGUUAUCGGGUCAAAAUAGUAGUUGCAAACGACAACUAUGCGGAAGCUCGUCUCGCUGCUUAAUCGCAGUGUGACACUUCAAAUCAAGUCCUAAGGGGUCGCACUCUUAGGCGGGGUUCGGAGGUACCUGGCAACAGAAACCUCCACU